AAUGAACGCUGGCGGUAGGCCUAACACAUGCAAGUCGAGCGGCAGCACAGUAAGAGCUUGCUCUUACGGGUGGCGAGUGGCGGACGGGUGAGGAAUACAUCGGAAUCUACUUUUUCGUGGGGGAUAACGUAGGGAAACUUACUCUAAUACCGCAUACGACCUACGGGUGAAAGCAGGGGAUCUUUGGACCUUGCGCGAUUGAAUGAGCCGAUGUCGGAUUCGCUAGUUGGCGGGGUAAAGGCCCGCCAAGGCGACGAUCCGUAGCUGGUCUGAGAGGAUGAUCAGCCACACUGGAACUGAGACACGGUCCAGACUCCUACGGGAGGCAGCAGUGGGGAAUAUUGGACAAUGGGCGCAAGCCUGAUCCAGCCAUACCGCGUGGGUGAAGAAGGCCUUCGGGUUGUAAAGCCCUUUUGUUGGGAAAGAAAAGCAGCAGGUUAAUACCCCGCUGUUCUGACGGUACCCAAAGAAUAAGCACCGGCUAACUUCGUG
rnacentral:rRNA from 1 species